GCAGUCGAACGGUGAUAGCAAUAUCAUAGUGGCGCACGGGUGCGUAACACGUAUGCAACCUACCUUAUACUGAGGGAUAGCCUUUCGAAAGGGAGAUUAAUACCUCAUAACACAUUGAACUGGCAUCAGUUUAUUGUUAAAGAUUUAUUGGUAUAAGAUGGGCAUGCGUCCAAUUAGUUAGUUGGCGAGGUAACGGCUCACCAAGACGAUGAUUGGUAGGGGAACUGAGAGGUUAAUCCCCCACACUGGCACUGAGAUACGGGCCAGACUCCUACGGGAGGCAGCAGUAGGGAAUAUUGGGCAAUGGAGGCAACUCUGACCCAGCCAUGCCGCGUGCAGGAAGAAGGCGUUAUGCGUUGUAAACUGCUUUUAUAUAGGAAGAAAUAGACCUUGCGAGGCAAGUUGACGGUACUAUAUGAAUAAGCACCGGCUAACUCCGUGCCAGCAGCCGCGGUAAUACGGAGGGUGCAAGCGUUGUCCGGAUUUAUUGGGUUUAAAGGGUGCGUAGGCGGUUUAUUAAGUCAGUGGUGAAAGACGGUCGCUCAACGAUUGCAGUGCCAUUGAUACUGGUAGACUUGAGUGGGAUUGAGGUAGCUGGAAUGGAUAAUGUAGCGGUGAAAUGCAUAGAUAUUAUCCAGAACACCAAUUGCGUAGGCAAGUUACUAAGUCUCAACUGACGCUGAGGCACGAAAGUGUGGGUAUCAAACAGGAUUAGAUACCCUGGUAGUCCACACUG
rnacentral:rRNA from 1 species